rnacentral:lncRNA from 1 species
GAGACAUAGAGGCAAAAAUGUGUCUGCCCAUGCACACUACAGAUCUGUCAAUACAAGAAGUUUGUUGAACAAGGCUAAUGUCUGAAAGCACCAUGCAAGUAUUCAGCACCCUGAUUACAUCUGUUUUCUCAAGAGUGCGUUUUUACAUCCUACACCCUGGCAUUCCCAGUUUGUAAACCGUAAGCUUUACCCUUGUGACAUGGAUUUGCCUGCCUCUUUGUCUCUAGAAUGCAGAUUUUACAGAACCUUUUGUACACCCUAUGGGUUCUUGAUGCAACCAGUAAUUUUAAAUAAAUAAAUUCUACCUCCAAGGAGGCUGCAGCUAAACCAACAUAAGUGCUGUGUUUUCAUUAAAUUUUUUUUUUUCCCUCAAGCACAUGAUUUGUCUUGAUUUAAUGCCUUUUUACUGCCCUCAAAAACUGAGGGGAAAAUAAAUUCGUUCAAAAUUCUCUUAAAUUCUUUUUAAUCCCCUCAAUUUAGAGUCCAAGGGCUGAAGGACUUAUAAUCAUGAUUCCCCUUUAGAUAUAAAUUUAUAAAUUGCACUUGCCUCUGUUAAGUGUUUCUUUUGUGGGG